UGGCCUCAAGUGAUCCUCCUGCCUCAGCCUCCCAAAGUGCUGGGAUUAUAGGUGGGAGCCACUGCACCCAGCCUGUGCUGGGCAUUUUAUAUUUGUCAUCAUGUUCCAUCUUCAGAAGAGCUUUGUUCAGGCAGGUUUGGUUAUCUCACCUUUGAGGACGAGGCUGCUGAGAACACACAGGAGGUAGGUGCUCAGUAAGUCCUUGUUGAAUGGGUGAAGGGCAGCAGCUUGCUGGCGGUGGAACUGGGUCUCUAGCCUGGCCUAGGCUCUCAACAGGACACCAGGCUGCCUGUCCGGGGCUGUACCUGUCACGUUGGGGCUGGCCUGAUUUUUCCUUGAGUGUGAGUGAAUGGCAGAGCCUGGAUACAUUGUGGUGCAAGGUCCUGGUCUGGUUUGUAACCAACUAGGUGGUUAUCCAUUGCCACUGCUGGAGGGUUCCCUUGUUUCUGGCAGUUACAGGAGGGAAGAUAAGAUUUAGAGGCCACUCACUUCUGUGGCCCUGUAAGUCCCCGGCCUUGCUGCUCCAGGUACAUUGACACUACCAUCUGAGCAGGGGGUGGGGAGUGAGAAUGGGAUGUGCCUGCCCUACAGCCCUGCUGCCCAGGACCGCAGGUGACCUGAAGCCAGCACAGAUGAGGCAGCGCGUGCAACUCACGCCCCAUCCAUCUGCCUGGCCAGCUCCUUGGCCUUCUGAUAUUGACUUGGCCCCACCAAGUUCCAGGUAUUGGAAAUCCAAAACAAAUAAAGCCCAGCCCCAUAGACGGAAGCAGGUUGGCUCUCUCUUUGCGGAAGCUCAAAGUGCAACAGCUGUGUGGGUAGCCAGCUCUCUGGGUGUCACCUGUUCUGCAGGCUGUUGGAGUAAAGUCCCAGGCAGGCCUCAGCGUGUAGAUGGUGAGCCAAGGGGCAAAGUCCACCACCGAGUAAAGGUGACUUUGUGUUGCUGUGACCCAGGUGGGGUUGGAGACUCUGACCUCUCCCAGAUGGUGUUGGUGGAAGGUGAAAGUUGGCUGUGCGGAUGUCCAGGUACAGGUGUGUUAUUUUGUGUCCUGUAACCCUGAAGCAGGAACAGCACGUAGGAUUAGGAAAGGGAUGGGGGAUUGGGGGCGGGGUAGAGUGUUGAGAACGUUGGAAAGAAUCCAAGAUGUGUUCGUUUCCUAGACGCAGUAACAAGGUACCAUAAACUAGGUGGCUUUAAACAACAGAAAUUUCUUCUCUCACAGUUCUGGAGGCGGAAAGUUCAAGAUUAAGGUGCCAGCAGGGCCGUGCACCCCCUGAAGGCUCUCGAGGAGAAUCUGUUCCAUGCCUUUCACGUACCUUCUGGUGUCGCCUACAGUUCUCGGCGUCCUUGGCUUGCGUUACUCCAGCCUCUGCCUUUGUCGUCAUUCACCCUGUGUGUCUGCGUGUGCAAACUUCCCUCAUUUUAUGAGGGUACCAGCCGUUGGAUUAGGGCCCACCAGUGUAGUCAAGCUAGACUCAGGACCUCAUUUUAGCUUGGUGACGUCUGCGAACGACCUAUAGCCUGCCCGCCCUCCGUAUCCGUGUGCUCUGCAUCCUCGGGUUCAGCCAACCACAGAUGGGAAAUAUUUUGGAGGAAGAAACAAUGAAAAAUAAUACAAAUUUAAAAACACAGUAUAACCAUUAUUUACAUAGUAUUUGCACGAUGUUAGGCAUUAUAAGUAACCUACGGAGGAUGUAAAGUGUGUGGGAGGAUGUGCCUGGUUUACAUGCAAAUACUGUACCAUUUUGUACAUGGGCCUUGAGCACCCAGGGAUUUUGGUAUGCUGGGGUGGGACGGAGUGGGGGUGUGGGCCUGGAUACCAAGGGACGACUGUUUCCAAAUAAGGCACCUUCACAGGUGCUGGGGGUUGAGAUUUGAACAUGUCUUUUUGGGGGACACAGUUCAAUCCACAACACAAGAUAACGGUGUGAGGCCCCAGAUCCAAAUCCCUGUUACAAGGGGCCAUAAUGAUCCUCAUCUACUCUGUAAUUUCAGUCAGCCCAGUAACCUUACGUCAGGGAUCUGCUGUGUGCCACAGUCUCUGGGCUUGGCCAGGCGCAGAAGUGAGACAUCGCUUGGCUUUUGGGGUGAGAUGCUACUUUUAUGGAAACCGAGUUUUUUUAAAAAAAGCUGAAAGAGAAUAUUCAUGCAGGCACUUCAGAGAUGGCCUCAGAAAUAGAGACAGGCUUUUCCUUCCUGCCCUAUUAAUUUUGAGGCCAGCUGGCUCAAGCCGGCGUUGACUUCUCUCUGAAAGGAGGUGUGGGGAGGGGCCGGGAACCCCUGGACUUGGAGGUGCUUUCAGUGCCUCGUUCCCCUUCCUGCAAGGGAGGGCCAGGGCUUGGAUGGCUCUUGGAGUGUGGUUCUGGUGUCGUCUGUUCCAGGCAGCCUUGGUAGCCGGGAACUGUUUUAUUAGAAGGGCAAAUAUUGAAUAGUGUCAAUAAGGAUGUUUUUUAUAGGGGCUCCUGUGUUUUUGCUGUGGGUGAACAUGAAGCCAAGUGUGGGUUAGCCUCCAGUAGCUGGGGCCAGCCCUUUCUCUUCCCCCACAGAAGUUUCCCGUCUGAGCAGAAAGAACCAAGCGCAAGUCUCCUCGCGCACAGGCAUUCUUCUCAUGGCUUUCCAGCAUCCCUGCGUCUGAGGAGAAUUUCCGCACAGACGGCAGGAGUGGAGUAGAAAGCAUUUGUAGCUAUUGUGUUAGUGAAAACCAACGUAAUGUAAAUAGGAAGUCUGGAUUAUACGUAUCCUCAAAACGCUGCGACAGAAAACCACACACACCAAAUGAAGCUUGCAGCUGUGUGCCUGGGCUCACACCCAGGAGUGCCGUCCGCGGGCGGCGGGGGCCCUUGUUCUGGGUCGCUACCCUCCAUCUCCUCUUCGCUCUUCUCUCUCCUCUCCCAAAAAAGAGAGAGAAAAAAUUAAUUGGACGUUUUCUGCAGUUCUUUCCUGUCUUUCCAAGAUCUUCACCACGUUGAACGUGUUGAGCGUGUUCAGAGUCAGCUGGAUUAGCCGCCCUUUCUAACAGCAUCAGGAGGAGGCAGGGCACAUUUCUAUGCCCACGUGAGCCAGCCACAGGAGGUGCAAAGAAGUAUCUUGUCCAUACGUUAAUAAUCUUCCCACUUUCUGUCCCUAAAUGAUACCUUUCCUGGGAGUGUCUUGGAGCACCCUUUCCUGCUUCGAGAGCCAACUUUGGGCAGAAGCACAAGUAUUUAUCAUGCCAAGGUUGUCUGUGUGCGAUACCUAUGUAUCUCUGUGAGUAGAUCAAUUUCAUGUCUUAUUUCCAGAGUGUGUUUAGAUACAUGUUUAUAAUGAAGGCAACUAGAUAAUAAACACAGAUAAGACUCUGGUAAUUCCACUAUGUAGGGAUUAAUAUUUUUUGUAUCCUGAUUUAUAUCUUGUUGGUGUGACUUUUUUUCUAAACACGUCUGUACCCCUACAAGGCCAUGUCUAGUGAGGCGGUAUCAGUCCACUUGGCAGAGUGGGUCCAGGCGUCUACUCGGAGGCACCUCUUGGCCAUCGUGGCCCUCUCCCUGGUGGGCUUUCUCAGCGGCCCGGUGCUGGCUCCCCGCUGUCCAUCCUUCCUUCCUCUUCCGGUCUCCGUGGAGCCUUAGCAAGUGCAGACCACCCAUCCUCAGUUUGCCAAGUUGCACGUGCUCUUCUCAAAUCCCGGGGCCUGUGUUGACGCAGGGUUCCCUUCCAAAAGGGCUGCCCACACACUUCUUUGCCAGGGGCUCUUGCAGCCCCUUCCUCCAGUCAGAAGCUCUUUGCAAUUGACAUUGCCAAAACUAAUUUCUUUCCUUUGGGGAGAGGGGUUGGGGUAUAAUCCUUGCUGCAAAUCCUAGAGUUCAGGACUGCUGUGUCCAGGUGACCUUGUGUGUGUCGAGAGAAAGGUUGUAUGGAGCUAUGGUUUUUAACCUUUCUGGGAGCACAGAUCCCCGUGAGACUGAAAUUCAUUGUCCUCUUUUCCAAACUCUACACAGUCACACAUACAAAUAACUGUGCCUCAUAAGUCUGGGGGUUUGGGUUUGCAGACCCUCUGAAGUCCAUCCCAGAGCCCCUUUAGAGGCAGACACACUCCCCUACCACUGGGUGGGCGUCUUAGUGUCCAGUUUGCCUGCUGUAGGAUAGCUGCAAUGGUAGUUCCCCGACAGUUGUGCUGCUGUGAGGAUGGUGAUGAUUAUAACAGCUUAGAUCUACCGAGCUCUGAUGAUGAUGUUGUUCAGCCAGUUCUCACCAUGACCCAGUGGGCGGAACAUACUACCAUCCCGUUUCACAGAGGAGCAAAUGGAAGCUCACAGAGGUGAAGUGACAUGCCCAGGGUCAUGCGAUUAGAGCCAGGAUUGGAACCCAGGCAAUGCGGGUUUAGACUGCGUGCCAAGCACCUGACAUGCAGCAAGGAAUGCAUCGGGUGCUGUGUGAGUGGCAGCAGCAAUAUUAAAAGCAGCAGAGGGUUAGGACACAGCCUCCCCUCUCCCACGGUCCCCCACCUGUCCUGAGCAUCCUCCUGGUACAGGAUCCGGGCUACGGAGGAGCUCGCAGGCGGGUGGAGGCGAGCGCAGAUCCGCCAAUCCUGGGAAAUGUGUAAAAUCCUGUUCCUGAAAACCGACCGGGUUCUCAAAGUGUCCCGGCUGGCAUGUUUUGCUAGUCACGAAACAUGAUCCAUACGCUGUAUUUUAGGACUCCCCAUCUGUCGGCAUCGGGGAGCGUUUUCCCUUGAGGAAGCUCAGAGCAUGCCAGCUCACCGAGAGGGCCGGUGGGCAAGGCGGAUCUGUGAUAUGUGAUAGUAGGGUGGGCCUAGAGGGCUGGCACGUGGGAGACAUGGCUAGGGGCUCUACCCAGGGCGUGCCAGGUCCCUUUCCCGUUACUUCACUCAAGUUUUAGACAAAUGCCCACUUUUGAGUCUUGGGGAGGUUGUUUUCUCUGGUCCAGGGUUUCAAGACUGCUAAGAGGCUGAGCAGCAGAGAUUUGAACUUCAGUUUUUAGAUUGUCCAGUGUUCAGUGCCUUGUCCCUCCUGCUUCUGAGCCUUCCCACUGCAGGUGGUGAAGGACAGGGUGUGGGACCUGCCCAGGAGUGGGCGGCGGGAGAGGGAGGGCAUGAGCCUUGCUCUUGGGCCUCGGCUGGUGGUAGAGGAAGACGCUAGGAGGGCUAUUGAUCCGCCCGCUCCUCCCAGGACGAGAGGGCCACAGCACAUUCUGGCUUUCUUUUUAAAAAUGCAUUAACCUGACCGUAAGCAGGCCCUGGUUUAAAAAUAAAUAAAUAAAAAUAA